AUACUUACCUGGCAGGGGAGAUACCAUGAUCACGAAGGUGGUUUUCCCAGGGCGAGGCUUAUCCAUUGCACUCCGGAUGUGCUGACCCCUGCGAUUUCCCCGGGCAAUAAACACCAGGCAGAAACUGUCAAAGAAUUAUAGUCUAAUGAACUGAAAAUUU
ensembl:snRNA U1 U1 spliceosomal RNA